rnacentral:tRNA from 1 species
GAGGGGGGCUCGACAGCAACGAGAACUGCUAAUUAUCGUUACCUGGGUUAAACCCCCAGGCCCACUCG